GGAAGGCAGAGGCCUGCGGCACAAAGUACAUUGUCUUAGACAUCAGGACAGUGUCUAUAGCAGUUUAGGAAAGAAGGCGGCUCCCUGGGCUGGAGACGACGCAAUGCUCUGGGAAGACCCCUGGGUGCGGGUGAGAGAGGAAUCCGAGCUGCACAAGGCCAAUGAGGGGAGGACGACCCGCCCGAUUUAGAUAAAGGUAACAAGAAAUUUCAGCUUCCGGCAUGAUGGGCGAAGGCCCCCACCUUCAGCCUCGCUCCUCCAUGCCUUCAGAGCUGUUCCGCCAUGCAGACGGGGAGCCUGCCUGUUCUUUAACCUCUCCUACCUGAUGGGAGAGGACAAGCUACCAGGACAGCUUGUCUCACCAAGAAAUUGUGAUACCGCAUCCCCCAACGUGCUGGCUUCCUGACUUCCAAAGUUGCGGCAAGGUAAGAAGAACUACAGAGGAAGAACCUAAUGCAGACGUUUCCCAGGAGACUUUAACUGAAGUAUCAGCAAACUGAAAGGUAACGAGAGAAUCUUGUGCCUCUGAGGGUGUCUUUCCCAUGGAUCCCUGCUCAGUUGCCUUUCACGGGCCCCCUGAUUUGCGUGAACUCCUGACCUCAGAUGAUCCGCCUGCCUUGGCCCUCCAAAGUGCUGGAAUUAUAGGCAUGAGCCACCGUG
rnacentral:lncRNA from 1 species